rnacentral:rRNA from 1 species
UACGAACGCUGGCGGCGUGCUUAACACAUGCAAGUCGAACGGUGAUGCUCCAGCUUGCUGGAGUGGAUCAGUGGCGAACGGGUGAGUAACACGUGAGCAACCUGCCCCAGACUCUGGAAUAAGCGCUGGAAACGGCGUCUAAUACUGGAUACGAAACUGGCCCGCAUGGGCAUGGUUUGGAAAGUUUUUCGGUUUGGGAUGGGCUCGCGGCCUAUCAGCUUGUUGGUGAGGUAAUGGCUCACCAAGGCGACGACGGGUAGCCGGCCUGAGAGGGCGACCGGCCACACUGGGACUGAGACACGGCCCAGACUCCUACGGGAGGCAGCAGUGGGGAAUAUUGCACAAUGGGCGAAAGCCUGAUGCAGCGACGCCGCGUGAGGGAUGACGGCCUUCGGGUUGUAAACCUCUUUCAGCAGGGAAGAAGCGAAAGUGACGGUACCUGCAGAAGAAGCACCGGCUAACUACGUG